UUUUGCAAUUUAUUAUUAAAUAUGGAUCUUUUAGCAAUUUUUUUUUUACACUUAAAUUAUUUUAAUUUUUAUAACAAAACUCUUAAUAAUUGAAAAUUAUACACAUAUAAUUUGAUAAUUAAAAUUUUAUUAUACUUAUAAUAUUAAUUUAAAAUGAUUACACUUUAUUAUACUUCUUGUAUUUCAGUGUAUGUUAAUAAUAUCCUCUCUUGUAUUGUCAAUAUUGUACUUCAUCUGGGUUCUUACUAUAUUUGUUAUCUUAUUCUUGUUUAGACUUGUUUCAUCAUCAACUAUGUGUGCUUGAAAAGUAUAUUUUUUUAUCGAUCCAGCUUGAGUACAAUUUAUGAUUGCAAGAUAAUGUGCCAUAGGAAUGGGAGUCAAUUUUAAAUGUUAUUGCUGCUGUUAGCACUUUCUUUCUAGAACUAGUUUUCAUUUAUGAGUGUCGUUCAAUGUAAUUUUGAUUAAAGAUUCGGGCUCAAGGCUGAAUGGUAUUUCAUUAUGUACAGGGCAAAAAGGUUAAAGUUCCAAUAUUCCUUGUCCCAGCUACCCAAAAGGUGUGGAUGGACUUAUAUAGUCUUCUAAAUUUUUAUCAAUCUGUAAAAGAUUUAAAAAAUCACUCCAAACAGCUACAUCAGGAUCAAUCCAUUCAUGGUUAACAUCUUCAAUGUCAUGCUCAAUUCCACUGUUACUCAUGUCAGAGACAUCUUCUUCGCAUUUCUUUUUCACAAAACUCAUGAAAUGAAAAAAAUUAUCUUCAUCUUCGGACAAAUUUGCUAUAGGUUCUAUGUUUUUGUUGUCAAAUAUUUUCGAUGUAAGUGUGGUGGAGAGUGAAUGAAAGAGGAUAAAUGCGA